rnacentral:tRNA from 1 species
UUUAUAGUAAACUGCUAAAGUUUUAAAAGAUUUCGACUCUUAAAUUUAUACCUUUAGAA